UUGCGCAAUGCUCGAAGCAAAGUGUUACAUUCUUCAUUAAGCAACCUCUGUUGUAGAAGCUAUCUGACUACAUCAGUCACGUUACAAAAGAUGAGAAAAUUCAGCCAGGGGACAUAAAAUUCGACUGGAAGACAGCAGGACGGAGGCGGCGAGAGGCGCUGCCGCGGCCCUAAGAUGGCGGCGCCGUGAGGGGGGAGCGGGCUGGACAGGGACCGCUGUUGUUAAAGCUUUAUUGUUCCCGCUGCCGCCCCCGACCGCCGUGUCCGCCGCGCCGUGCCCAGUAAAGCCACCAAAGGCAGUGCCGUGCAGAAGGACAGGCGGGGUCCUGCCUGCCUGUGGACAGCUCAAAAGCUGAGCUCCAGAGGAACUGGUGCCUUCAAGAAGUGAGAUGUCAGCUCAGCCUGCACCCAGCAUCUGCUUAUGAUGUGAUUUGGUACAAUCUGAGCCUGAUUUCAUGCGAGGCAGAGCUUUGAGAUUGGUGUAUGUCCAUUGGCUGUUAAAGCUCGUACCCUGGUGAAUGGCUAUACUAGUCCUGUUAUCUGCAAGAAAGCAGGAAGCUGAGUGCAAAGAUGUUAAACGUUGAAGAUCAUGUAAUUCGUGUCCAUCCAAGUGCUCUUUCUCUAAUGCUCAUACUGUUCCCUUUUGCCUAACAUGCCACUGUUAGGCAUCCUAGUGUGUGGACAAGGCAGUAAUAUCUUUAUCUUGUCUAUCUUAGAUAAAAAUUCCAGAUGACCCAAUGAAAAAAAUUCUGUUAGCAGAUGUCCUAUCUGCCCUCCCUCCUGCAGUGGGGUGGGGAGGCAUAGAGGUUAAAGAGGGGCUUUUGGUAGAUGGGAUUAGGUUUAUGGACUUCUACCAAAAAUUACAUUUUAGGGGAAGAGACUCAUAAAUCAAUGAGCUGAGACCAUGGUGUGCUGAGAAGGGGAUGCUGAAGGCCCUGGGCUGUGAGCAGAGUCCUGUCUCUAAUGUUCACAUGGCCCUGCUCAUCUUGUUAGCGUUCAAAAACACAUAAUCACGGAGCAAUUAUAUGCGGUGCUUUUUAUUAAGAGCUCUGGGAAUCGGGGUAUAUUCAACCCAAAUCUGACUCUGACCAUACAUCCAAAAGGAUCAUGUUUUAUACUCUAUCAUUACAUAACUUUCAUGUUAAUUAUUAAACUUAUAUUGUUCUAUUGUAUACAUAAAUUUAGCCCCUCUCUGAAUUUCCAACAUAGUUUCUCACUAUUCUUCUUAUGGUUAUAUAAUAAUUACAUUUAAUUACUAAACAAUCAUCACAUCUAACAAUUAUAUAAUUUAUCAUACUGCUUACACAGGUGCAGUUGAUCUGGGAAAGCACAAAGCCUAACAUUUUAGAUUCUAUCUUUAACUUUUUCCAGGGUUCCACUAUCAUUCUUACCUGUGAUUUGGGGGAGAAAAUGAACUGGGUCCCAAAUCACUUAGUGCUUUGCAGGUUCAAGCUAACACCUCAGAUUCUCCUCUGUGGUCUGAACAGGUGUUCAUGCCCUGCUCCUAUUGCGGCACGUGUCCGACCACCAGUGAUCUCUGUGACCCGGCUGGCAGCAGAGUGGCUGGAGACGGGCUGCAGCACGUGCUGGAGGAUGCAGGCACCCAGUGUGGGGCACUGAGGAGUGCCAGCCCCCCAGCGAACGUGGGGUACUGAGGACAGCUCAGAGAGACGACCCAUGGGAGGCCCUAGAACACCGCGGGCUUCGGUACUCGGGGCGAGGUUUCGCGAGGAGCAGCAGAGAAGAGAGGGGAUCUAAGCUUUCCUAUUUAAGUCUUGCUUUCAUUUAAAAGCUGCCAAAGAAGACCCUAAAACCAUUACAUAAACACUUUAAGAUAAAAAUAAUCAACCCCCACUCCCCUCUAGAAUUUUUCUUAAAUUUAAUUGAUUUCUUUUGAGAUGCAUUUAUUGUGUUGUUGUUUUGUUACGCGGUCAGGAUGCUAAGAGAUUAUUUUUCAUUUCAAUAAGGUAAUCAUUUAAAUUUUAGUUUUGAUUGUGCAAUAUUUAACAGACUUCCUUUCCUGGUUUUUGCAUUACACCCCCCAUGUCCCUGAACCCACUGACCCUGAGAACAGAAUGGGAGGUGGAAUCUGCCAUCUCCCCUCCUUUUUGUUGCCUACCCAGGACAGCACUGGCCAUGCUGUCUUGGGUAGGGGACAGAAAAGGAGGGGAGAUUGGCCAUUCUACCCUAACCACUUUCCAUCAGCCCUCAACCCUACCCCCAUUUUCCUAUUAUAUUUAAUUGGCAGUUCCUGAUUUUUGUUAUAAUUCAUUUGCAGAUUGCUGUUAUUUCCUGUUUAGUUAUGUGGGUGACCCUUGGAGUUAGGCCAGUUGACCCAUUUGUUUAUUUAUUUAACUUUGCAGCAUGAACCCACCUGUUUAGUUGUAAACUUUAUUUACAGUAUUCUAUGUAUUUUUGUUCUCGAUUUAGUUAAAUUGAUUAUAAAGUCCAUUAAGUAGACUGUCAUUUUAGUUCAAAUAAGACUGUUAUACUUUUUAUUUUAAAUGAAAGAAGAGGGGGGAGUUGUGUAAGUUUGUCCUGGAAGGGAUGGGCUAGGGACUGGCCACACAGCCUCAACCCAACAUCGGGCCUCAAGAAAGAAGAAACCACAACUGAUGACAUCCAAGCAGCUUAUGGUGAGGAGAAAAGGACUUGCAAAGGACUCUGGGACCAGUUGGGAGUGGCCAUGCAGAUCAACAGCCCAUGACUGGCCAGAAGGCUUCUAGAACAUUCUGAGAGACUACAUUCUAUGAGAGACUAUAGAUAUGCAUGUUGACCUCACUUCGAUGUCUUCUGAAGUAGCCCCUUUAUGUUUUGUUUUGCACCCGUGUUUCCGCCCUUUUAUUUAUUUAAUAAAUAUCUUCAGUUU